UAGGGAAUCUUCCGCAAUGGACGCAAGUCUGACGGAGCAACGCCGCGUGAGUGAAGAAGGAUUUCGGUUCGUAAAACUCUGUUGUUAGAGAAGAACAGCGCAUAGAGUAACUGUUAUGCGUGUGACGGUAUCUAACCAGAAAGCCACGGCUAACUACGUGCCAGCAGCCGCGGUAAUACGUAGGUGGCAAGCGUUGUCCGGAUUUAUUGGGCGUAAAGCGAGCGCAGGCGGUCAAUUAAGUCUGAUGUGAAAGCCCACGGCUCAACCGUGGAGGGUCAUUGGAAACUGGAAAACUUGAGUGCAGAAGAGGAAAGUGGAAUUCCAUGUGUAGCGGUGAAAUGCGCAGAGAUAUGGAGGAACACCAGUGGCGAAGGCGACUUUCUGGUCUGUAACUGACGCUGAUGUGCGAAAGCGUGGGAAUCAAACAGG
rnacentral:rRNA from 1 species